UAGCUCAGUGGUUUGAGCGCGGUGCUGGCAACGAGGACCAACACCGAGGUUGCGGGUUCGAUUCCCGC
rnacentral:tRNA from 1 species